rnacentral:rRNA from 1 species
UACGUAGGGUGCAAGCGUUAAUCGGAAUUACUGGGCGUAAAGCGUGCGCAGGCGGUUUUGUAAGUCAGAUGUGAAAUCCCCGGGCUUAACCUGGGAACUGCGUUUGAAACUACAAGGCUAGAGUGUGGCAGAGGGGGGUGGAAUUCCACGUGUAGCAGUGAAAUGCGUAGAGAGUGUGGAGGAACACCGAUGGCGAAGGCAGCCCCCUGGGUUAACACUGACGGCUCAGGCACGAAAGCGUGGGGAGCAAACAGG